rnacentral:rRNA from 1 species
GAGUUUGAUCCUGGCUCAGAACGAACGCUGGCGGCAUGCCUAACACAUGCAAGUCGAACGCUAAGCCAUCUUCGGAUGGUGGAAAGUGGCGCACGGGUGAGUAACACGUGGGGACCUACCUGAUAGUAAGGGACAACAGUUGGAAACGACUGCUAAUACCUUAUACGCUCUUCGGAGGAAAGAUUUAUCGCUAUCAGAUGGACCCGCGCUAGAUUAGAUAGUUGGUGAGGUAAUGGCUCACCAAGUCUGCGAUCUAUAGCUGGUUUGAGAAGAUGAUCAGCCACAUUGGAACUGAGACACGGUCCAGACUCCUACGGGAGGCAGCAGUGGGGAAUAUUGUACAAUGGACGCAAGUCUGAUACAGCAAUGCCGCGUGAGUGAAGAAGGCCUUAGGGUUGUAAAACUCUUUCGCUAGGGAAGAUAAUGACGGUACCUAGUAAAGAAGUCCCGGCUAACUCCGUGCCAGCAGCCGCGGUAAUACGGAGGGGACUAGCGUUGUUCGGAAUUACUGGGCGUAAAGAGUUCGUAGGCGGAUAAGCAAGUAAGAGGUGAAAGCCCAGGGCUCAACCUUGGAACUGCCUUUUAAACUGCUUAUCUAGAGACCGAUAGAGGUUAGGGGAAUACCUAGUGUAGAGGUGAAAU